AGGACGAACGCUGGCGGCGUGCUUAACACAUGCAAGUCGAGCGGUGAGGCCUUUCGGGGUACACGAGCGGCGAACGGGUGAGUAACACGUGGGUGAUCUGCCCUGCACUCUGGGAUAAGCCUGGGAAACUGGGUCUAAUACCGGAUAUGACCUGCUCUCGCAGUGGGGGGUGGUAGGAAGAAUUAUUCGGUGGCAGGAGUGGCCCGGCCGGCCUAUCAGCGUUGUUGGGUGGGUAAGUAGCCGUACCAACGGCGGACGACGGGUAGCCG
rnacentral:rRNA from 1 species